AAGGGUUAGGGCAGCAGUGGAGUAGUAACGUUACGAGGCAGAGAGCCAGUCGCUAAAUAAGUCAAAUUAACUUCAUGCUUCAUCCACGCAAAGCAUGUUGCUAUCUCCACGAGUGACAGCUUUUUUCAGCUCGUUUUCUGUGAACGAUGUGGCGACGGGGUAACGUUAAGGUGGAGUUAGCAAGCUAAUGUUAGCCAACUAACACCGGCUGGCUGGCUUGCUCGUUCCGCCGUGUUUUUAUGCUGCAUCGGUUACAGAGAAUGAGCUGAACAGCGGGCUGGGUCUGACGUUAGCUGUCCGCUGACCCACUGCCGCUGGGUCUAACGUUAGCGGUCCGCUGACCCGCUGCCGCUGGUUCUAACGUUAGCGGUCCGCUGAUCCGCUGCCGCUAGGUCUAACGUUAGCCGCCCGCUGCCCCGGAUUGUGGGGAAAGAAAUGUAUUUGUUUCAAAU